CACACUCUCGGUGAGACACACUGUGGUUCUCUCUGGGAGAGCAGCUGAGUAGCAGGAACAUCAGCACAGCGAGAGACAAGAAGCCCUGAGCGAGCCCUUCGUAUUUGAUCUGUCCCGCUUUCCCUUCAGAGGUGUCACUACAUCUACAGAAAAUGGCAUUGAAGCGAACACUGAGAGCCAGCCGGCAGAACGCAAAAGGUUGCGCCUCUAAGUCACAGUGCUUGUCUAGGAGGGAAAGCUGACUACCUUGCUUUGCUCUUGGAUGAAAAUGUUUGCAAAGACAGCAGUCAUGAAACCAGAGAGUCAGAACCUUUAGGGGUUUUAUCAGGAGAAUAAGCACGUACUUGGAGGGAGAAGCUGAAUGGACAGCAUAUUUUAAAGAUCCUUUUGGAACACGGAGCCCCUGAACAUCAGCGGAACAUUUUUUAAAUUAUACCGUCAGCUUGAGGCUUGUAAAAUGUGUCCGCUUCUUAAGCAGCGAGCAUCUUUCAUCAGAUUAAAGGCAAAGCAUAAAUCGAUGGUUCACCAGCAGCCUCAACAGCACUGACUUUAGGUUGUCUCCCGUCAAGCACCAGUAAUAAUGUUGUCAAAAGUGAUGCUGGGUGUCAUCCUGUCCCUCCUCAUCCUGCUGACUGUGGGUGGUAAUGUGCUGGUGUGUCUAGCUGUCUGCGCCUCACGACGCCUCCGCUGCCUCACUAACUGCUUCAUUGUGUCGCUGGCGGUGACAGACCUCCUGCUCGGCCUCUUGGUCCUCCCGUUCUCCGCCCUCCUCCAGCUCAGCGACGAGUGGCCACUCGGCCCCGUCUUCUGCAACUUCUACAUCUCCAUGGAUGUCAUGCUGUGCACGGCCUCUAUACUGACGCUGCUGGCUAUAAGCGUGGACCGCUACAUGGCGGUGACCAUGCCUCUGAGGUACACCUCCCUGGUGUUGCCAUGGAGAGUUGCUGUGGCCCUGGUGAGCGUCUGGACGGUUUCAGUGGCCGUGUCUUUCUUGCCAAUUCAAAUGGGAUGGAACACGGUUAACGGGACGGUGCAGAAUCACGGGCCGUGGGCGUCCGAGAGGAGAUGUCGCUUCGAACUGAACCGGCCUUAUGUACUCACAGACUCUCUUCUCACCUUCUAUCUGCCUCUGUUGGCUAUGUGCUGGACCUACCUUCAGAUACUCCGCAUAGCUCGGGCGCAGGCCAAGCGUAUCAUCAGCACCCGGCCUAUUUGCAUCACCAGCUACAACUGCAGGAACAGCCCCUCCACCAGUACGACUCUGGCGUCUGGUGUUACAGCCGUGGCACUGCGAGACCACAAAGCCACACUGACAUUGGCAGCUGUGAUCGGGGCUUUUGUUGUCUGCUGGUUGCCUUAUUUCAUAUUAUUCACAGUGCUGGGUCUAAAGGAGCAUCCAGACCCCGGCAUAGUACCAGAAUUUCCUAUUGUUUUGUGGUUGGGGUACGCCAACUCAGCCCUCAACCCUGUCAUCUACGGAGCCCUGAACAGGGACUUCCGGUCAGCCUAUGCCCAUCUACUGAGAUGUCGGCUCCAUGCUCAGAGUGGCUGGAGAAGUCAGCAAUCUUCUCCCACUUUUACCACAGCAAGAAAGCAGCUCACAGAGGUGACGCUGCUGUGUGGUCACACCUCUGCCACCUGCACAGCGGCAGUGACAGCUCAAAACGUCAUGCUCGAAGAAAUGAGCAGCAUAGGAGCCGCUCCAACCACUCACUCCACAAAUGGGACGGCUACCACAGAUGUCAGUGGCAUUCACGGGCUGUAACGAGCCUGUGCUCAGCGUACACCCCUGAUCCAGCGUCAGUCAGCCUGAUGAAAGAGAGCAGCAAACAGAGGCCAACGGAGAUGUUAUAAACCCCCACAUAUUCAGUGCCGCACCAGAACCAACCAUAAUGCCACAUUAUUCAACAUGGCUAAUCCAGAGCAAAGGAGAACCCAGGACCUCAACAACUCAAGACCUCAUCAGUAAGAAUCAAUAAGCCCUCGCAGCAGGAUUGCGAAUGAAAAGAAAUGAAGCUCUGCAGGAAUAAAUGACACCAGCCAAUUAGCCGGUGUCACCACGUUCAUUAACCAGUGGACAUUUCUCAUCCUGACUCCAGAGUGCACUCCAGUGGAAACAUCAAGUAACACAUCUUCAACUUGGAAAGAGACCUUUACCAGGAAAUGUGUGUUCUAUUAAAAUAAGACUUUCAGUAAAUGAGCCCAUGAGUUGAAUGUGUAGCAUGCAAUCCGAUGUUAUGUGUUCAUUUUGAAAAAUAUACAACCCACGGACCUACUCAUACAUUAUUGUUUAUACUGCUGUGCAAAGUAUGUAUAUAUUAAAUUGAAAUAUAAACACUACCAGUGACUGAUAAACAUAUGUGUUGUUCCUACAAAAUAUUAGAUAAUAAAGGAAUACAUGUCAA